ensembl:lncRNA
AUCCACUCGAGUCACAGCAGUGGCCGAAUCCUGUAUGGAGGACACCUCCUGGGCUGUGCUGAGUCUGGCUGCUUGCUACCUGUGCACAGGCUUCCUGCUGACCAGGUCCAGCUUCCCCCCUACCCACUUCUUCCUGGCCACCUGGGAGCAAGUGGGCCCCUAGGAGGAGGACAGUCUUGGGGCUGCGUGGUCUGGAGAGCUGAACACUCUCCAGGCCGUUCUGGCAUCCGAUGAAUGUGAUUCCUAUGCCCUCUUUCUCUAUCCUGCCAAUGGUCUUCAGUUUUUGGAACUCGCCCCAAAGAAUCCUACAUUGUCCAGCUGCAGCUUCCUGCGAAGGUGGCUUCUGCCAAGGGGAAGCAGAUUACCUGAAGAGAAAAGCCCUGUAUUUCAGCCUGACAAACAGUGAGCAGUCGGUGAAGACUCUCUACCCGAUAUGGAGACUUCAAUGAUUUUAAUCUAGAGGAUGCGCUGAAAGAAACUUCUUGAGUAAAGCGUGACUCAAACAAACGAGUCCACCAAGCAAACACAAGUGGUCGGCCAUGCACCACACUCACAAUCUUGCCUUCAGAAAAGUACAUGCAUAUGAGACUAGCUGCACCUCCAUCUACCUGUUAGUUCUGUUGUGCAAGGCUUGUGUCGUCUCGUCAUACGUGUGUCAUCUUCCUUUUUCAUUCAGUUUUUUUCGAAACCACAAGAGAACGUGCAUCUGCCUUCACCUUUUUUCUGCUGGACUAAAAGAGAACUCCUACCCAUUUCAUUCCUCUCACUGUUUUGUUUUGAGACAGGGUCUCUUGAUUUAGCCCGAGUUGUCCUGAAAUUCUCUGGGCCAACAAGGCCGGCUUUGACUUGGGUCCAGUGCUAGAACAACAGUGACUCUUGUCCACUGAUGCAUUUCUAGCUUCAGAACCCAUGACUUUUUAUGAUUCUUCAGUGUGAUCCCCACAAUGGCCUCAGGGACCAAUACCGAGACCAUUCUCACGAUGUGACUUCUGUAAACCAUAAAGCAGCCAAUGUGUUUUAUAAUCUGCUUCCUUUUGUCCUCCCAUCUCCCUUCAGGGAGCCACUUAGGCACCACGACUAGGAGGACAGGAACUACCAAAGCCCCAUCAAAUCCAGCAGGUAACGAGGUGUGGGAAGUGAGGAAGGCCAGACUCACCUGAGAAGGGACACAAGGAGGGACUCGUUGGUACUCCAUCUGGGACAGGGUCAAAAGGAGCCAUGUAGAAUUUUUAGCUGCAUAUAUGAAAAGUCAACAAAGGCACCAUGUGAAUGUUAGAUUUAACUCAACAAAAUCCCAUCUAGUCCCAACUGGUCACUGUGCCUUCUGAGAAAACCAUGCAUUUCCACUUCCUAUUUCUUUGGGUGAGGAUGGCUGCCAGAAUCCAGGUAUAGGAGGCAGAAGGGGUGAGCUGGACUUGACUGAAGACCCAGCCUAUCCCCAUCGCUCCCAGGUUAAACAUGAGCCAUUCAUAGUCGAGCACAGUGGGGCAACCUGAGGCCAAAGGAGAAGUCUUCAACGAAGAUAUUCAGAUGUUUUCUUGAAAUUCUCUUAAGUUUUUGAAGAUCUCAGGAGAGUUUGUGUAUGUGGGUCACAUCUAUAAAUACUUCUCAUCUGAGAACUUAGAACUAAAAACUAAUAUUAAUCUGAGGAAAAUAAAAAGCCAUAUGCAUUGACAUAUGUGGUGCGUUUUUAUGAGAAAUAACUGUGCUUAUAAGGUGAAAACAUAAUUUAGAGUAAUGAAUGACAUUACUUUGUAGUUUUCUGUAAUAUCUGGCUUCAAUAGAAUGCGUCGGGAUUCUUGUGUGUGUGUGUGUGCGUGUGUGUGUGUGCGUGCGUGUGUGUGCAUGUGCAUGUCUGAGUCUGUGUGCACCUCUGUGUGUGUGUCUGUGUGUGCGUGCAUGUCUCUGUGUGUGUGUCUGUGUGUGCGUGCAUGUCUCUGUGUGUGUAUGUGUGUGUGUAUGUUUGUGUGUCUGUGUGCGUAUAUGUGUGUGCAUGUCUGUGUGUGUAUCUGUGUGUGUUUGUGUGUGUGUAUUUGUGUCUGUGUGUGUAUGUGUGUGUGUGUGCAUGUCCAAGAGUGUGUACAUUUAUGUGCAUGUGUAUGUAUAUGUGUAAGAAGAGAGAGAGAGACAGAGAGACACAGAGACACACACACACAAAGAGAGAUUGUUAUAUACCAUGGUGGCUGUGGAAGUCCAAGAAAAGUUAUGGAGUUGAUACUCUCUCACCUCUCCAUCAGUUCAAGGAAUUGAGCUCAGGUUGUCAGAGUUUCUGCUUUUUAUGCGGAAGAUAACUGUACAAUCAACUGGAUAACUUAAAAUUUGAAAAGAAAUAAUAAUAAUUUUUUUAAUAUUCCCCAGAGUAGAAUUCCCCAGAGUUCAAAAUAUCAGCAGAGCCAUACUCCUGAGUGCUCCUGGAUUUGAAUGGAAUCCUUCCUCCCCUCCCCCCCCCCCCCCCGCCAUUCUUAACUACUUUGUAUCUCACUAAAAUAUAAGAACAGCUAACCAGUUUCCUGUUCAUAGAUGUGAUGUCUUGGAAGCCUUUCUUCUGGGUUUAGGUUAGUGUGAGCAAAGGAUGUGUCCCUCAGGUGAGUGGAAUGCCAUCCUUUGUCACCUCAGCUUUCACAAGUCCUUUGUAAUCACAGUAAUUGCAAGAAGCUGUGCAGACGACAGGGCCAUGGUACAAUGUUCACAAAUGCCAAUGUGUAGCAAAGGCCUAAUAAUACACUAGGUGUGAAUUAUGAACCUCAAUUAAGGCCUUUGCCAGUCACAUUGCCCAGUUAGAAUAUACAUAAUUGUAAGUAGGACUCCAUUUUAUUUUACAAAAAGUAUAAUUGCUUGUUAAAAGUGUGACAUUCAAGAGUUAGCAGAAUAGGAUGUGGAAAGAUUUCCCAAUGAAUACUGCAGACCUCAGGAGAACAAAGGGGAGCACGUGGUUUAUUUUAAACAGAUGUCACCUGCUGUGGAAACUUCUUUCAGGCAAGAAUACAAUGUUCUUACUGUUCUCCAGGCCUGUGAUGGAUUGUUAUAUACAUAGGAGAAAGGGGGAAAUAGUCUCUCUAUUUCUGCUUUGAACUUAGAUGCCUAAAGCAACACAAAUCCAUCCAUUUACAUUUUGGGUAUUAGGCGGCUAAAGAUUCCCACUACAAUAAAGUUCAGCUUUAGCAGUGUUGUCCUCCUCUGAAGGCUCUAGUUUCUUUGCCUUUCCUGAGUUUGUUUUGUUUCUCUUUGUUUUGUGAAAUGUGUCUUCAUCUUAUGGAUCAUGGCUCCUUCCCCUGAUCCACUGACCACAUGUUGUCUGAUUAUCACUCUUCUUUUCUUAUCAUGACCCUAGAAUUCACUUUGAGCCAGUCCAGAUAAUACAAGAUAAUAACUGUAUCUCCAAUACCUUAGAAGCUAGCUUAGUUACAUUUUAUAGUGAUUUCUGCCUCGUAAAGUAUCAACUGUGUAUGCCCUGACACUCCAAAUGAGAACACCCCUGAGGGAUUGCAUGCAUUACAGGAAAUUGAACAUUAUAUCAUUACCAUUGUGUCAUGAUGUCACACUGUUUUUAUUUUACAUAAAACCACAAUAGAUUCUCAGAAAAGAUCAUAUCUAGACAACUUCCAUAUAUGGUUUUAAAAACAGUAUAAGAUCUUAUGAAAAAGAGAAAUGAAAAUUCCACAAUAUGUGUGUUAAGUGAGGGGUCAGCUGAUAUGACUCAGACCCAUUGCAGGGGCCUAAGUACUUUUUCCUUCCACUAAGUGGUGGUUAAUGAGCACACAGUAAGCUAAAUGGACUGUGCAUGCAGUCUUCUUCUUUUGUAGCCUAGGUUCUGCUAUUUUUCCACAGGUCUUGUAUUCAUGUUUUUGCAUGUGUCUCAUUUGGUAAUGUCUAUGUUCCUCACAAUGCAGGUCUAGGUGUGACAAACAUGUUGAGUGUACAGUGGGGUUGUGUCUCAGCGGCUCUACCACACAUGUCUUGCCUGAGGCCUCUUGGGCAUUCUUUGUGCAGAAAUGUUAGAACUCAUCUACUCAGUGAUCCCACAGGGAUGUGGGGUGAUAGCCAGGACAAAAUGAUUCUGGUUGGUGGGGGGGAGGGGAAAAGGGACAUGAUGCUUUAAGUGUGUUUUAAAAAUGAUCUCUUUUAGUUUUGAAAUUAUAACAUCAUCCCAACAUUUCUCCAUUCCCUCCACUUCUCCUCCCACCAAACCCUUGCAUGUGGGCUGGAGAGAUGGCUCAGUAUUUGGAAGUGUAUUUUACUCUUCCAGAAGAACUGAGUUUGGUGCCUAGUACCCUUGGCAGAUGGUUCACAACUGCCUGGAAUUCUAUCUCACAGGCUUUGAUGCCUCUGGUUGCCUUGGGCAUUCACACAUACACAGGAUGAAAAUAAAAUAAAAUGUUAAAAUGACUCCCAUCUAUUCUUGCUCGCUCUCCAUCAAGUCCACGACCUCCUUUUUCAUUAAUUGUUGUUACAUGCAACUAUGUAUAGAUUUUC